CAGUCACUCCAAUAGUAAUCUGUAUCACAGUUGCCACACCUUAUUACAAUGAAAAUCACCGACACUAAAUAAAAUCUAUAUUUUAUUACAACAUAACAAUCUUCCAACGCCACGCUACCAAGUCAGGAGUAUUAACGGAUGUAACUUUGCACACACUAGGAACAAAGAGCAUCGUGCCAACCAAAGAGAACCAAAAGUACAUAUUUAAAAUAUCUGCCAUAAAUUAGUUUACUCUCUGUACUCAGUCGAUUACUUCUUAUUUUUUCAGAACAGUACAUUGUAAAUGAAUCGUGAAAUAAUUCUUAAAAACGAUCUUCACUCUACUAAUUUCAUGGAUUGUAUGCCUUCACACACGAGUGACGCUCGGGUAACAAAAGUGGUGCACCAAACUGGAAGUUGGUGAACCUGGCUGUAUAAUACAAACGUAAGAUGGUGAUAUGCCGUGAUCUGAUGCAGCAGUUAGUACAUGGUCCCAUAGAGGUGGUAAUUGGGCUGAGUUUUGGAAUAGGAUGGGGAAUUCUUUUGAUGUUCAUUCCUCAUAAAGAUGAUGUUAGAUAUCAACAAUGCUUUUGAAGAUAUCUGUCUUCUGGGUUGUUGCGCUGUGUAGACUUGUCAAUGUUAACCAACGUUUCAGAGGUCAUACUGCCUCCGUCAUCAGGGCGAGCGAGGGUAAGCCUUGUCACUCAUUCACAAUCAUAAGGUAGGACAAGAAUAAUUAUGCAUGCAGUAAAGCUACAGUAACUGAAAAAACUAAACACAGCAAAAUAUAUACAACACAUGAUGUUACAGAAACUUGUAAAAAUGUAGCACUUAAAAAGUUAAUAAGUUGAUUAUAUUUUAGCUGUCAAGACUUUCCAGUUUUCUGUUGAAACCUAAGAUUUAUCUCUUUUGUUUUCAGUAAAGCCAGCCUUGUCCUCAGUACAGUUUGCAUCAUAAAGUAAAUUAUAAAUGCCCUUAACAAUGUUGUAUGUACUUAAUUAUUUUUUAUCCCGAAUGCAAGUAAAUUUUGCCAGGUCAGGAGGCUUGCGUGCUCAAGUGACCCUUAGGGCUAUGCGGGCCGGAGCUUCAGCUCAUGGUAGGGUCACCUAAGCUGGACAGGUCUAAGGCAAUGAGCCAGACUAAGGGUGAUACCCUUGUCCUCCAGGUUGGGGGUUGGGUGUGGGGCAAAGAACUCCACCCUGGAAAACAAUUAUUGUUAUGAUACUCUCAAAAGAUAUAAAUACCUGUAACUCACAAUGUAGUCAGUACAUUUAUUCUCCCAUAUUUCUUCCUUUGCUGUGGAAUUUCUUUAAACAUGCUCUGUGUUAUGAUAUCCUGUAUAUUUGGCACAUUACAGAAUUAUUCCUCCCUAACAAUUAAAGACAUACAGGUAUUUAUAUCUUACAUUUGAAUAACAGUGAGAGCUUUCUUUUAUUUAUUAAUCAAAAAUGACAACAUACAGAAAAACUGACAGGUUUACAAAAUAAAAUUAUGAUUUGAGAAUUAACAACUGUGCUUUGUACUGACAGUUUUAUGUUCCAUUCAGUGACAAAGUUACAUCACCACAUAUGUCAGUGUUGGUCACAUGAAUGGGUCAAAAGUCUGUAUUAUAAAGGCUUAUUUUAUAUAUGAUUUCAAGCUUUCACGACGAAGUAACUCACUAAAAUCUUCUUAGGCGAUCAGCCACGUCAAAGGUUUAAACAAUAAAACCGACAUUUCAGAGACCG